GAUGAACGCUAGCUACAGGCUUAACACAUGCAAGUCGAGGGGAAACGACAUCGAAAGCUUGCUUUUGAUGGGCGUCGACCGGCGCACGGGCGAGUAACGCGUAUCCAACCUGCCCAUCACUUGGGAAUAACCUUGCGAAAGUAAGACUAAUACCCAAUGACAUCCCACGAAGACAUCUGCAUGGGAUUAAAGAUUUAUCGGUGAUGGAUGGGGAUGCGUCUGAUUAGCUUGUUGGCGGGGUAACGGCCCACCAAGGCAACGAUCAGUAGGGGUUCUGAGAGGAAGGUCCCCCACAUUGGAACUGAGACACGGUCCAAACGCCUACGGGAGGCAGCAGUGAGGAAUAUUGGUCAAUGGGCGAGAGCCGGAACCAGCCAAGUAGCGUGCAGGAUGACGGCCCUAUGGGUUGUAAACUGCUUGUAGAAGGGAAUAAAGUGGGUCUCGUGAGACUUUUUGCAUGUACCUGAUGAAUAAGGACCGGCUAAUUCCGUG
rnacentral:rRNA from 1 species